AUGGAAGAAGAAAUCGCUGCACUCAUCAUUGACAAUGGCUCAGGCAUGUGCAAAGCCCGCUUUGCUGGUGAGGACGCCCCCAGGGCCGUGUUCCUUUCCAUUGUAGGGCGCCCGCGACACCAGGGUGUCAUGGUGGGCAUGGGCCAGAAAGACUCGUAUGUAGGUGACGAGGCCUAGAGCAAGAGGGGUAACCUGACCCUGAAGUACCCUAUCGAGCAAGGCAUUGUCACCAACUGGGACGACAUGGAGAAGAUCUGGCACCAUACCUUCUACAAUGAGCUGCGUGUGGCCCCUGAGGAGCACCCGGUGCUUCUGACUGAGGCCGCCCUGAACCCCAAAGCUAACAGAGAGAAGAUGACGCAGAUAAUGUUUGAAACCUUCAAUACCCCGGCCAUGUAUGUGGCCAUUCAGGCGGUGCUGUCCUUGUAUGCAUCUGGGCACACCACUGGCAUUGUCAUGGACUCUGGUGACGGGGUCACACACACACACAGUGCCCAUCUAUGAGGGCUAUGCCCUUCCCCACACCAUCUUGCGUCUGGACCUGGCUGGCUGGGACCUGACAGACUACCUCAUGAAGAUCCUGACUGAAAGGGGCUACAGCUUUACCACCACUGCUGAGAGGGAAAUUGUUCCUGACAUAAAGGAGAAGCUGUGCUAUUUUGCCCUGUAUUUUGAGCAAGAAAUGGCUACUGCUGCAUCAUCUUCCUCCUUGGAGAAGAGUUAUGAGCUGCCCAAUGGGCAGGUGAUCACCAUCGGCAAUGAGCGGUUCCGGUGUCCUGAGGCACUCUUCCAGCCUUCCUUCCUGGGCAUGGAGUCCUGUGGUAUCCACGAGACCACCUUCAACUCCAUCAUGACUUGUGAUGUGGAUAUCCGCAAAGACCUGUAUGCCAAUACAGUGCUGUCUGGUGGUACCACCAUAUACCCAGGCAUUGCUGACAGGAUGCAGAAGGAGAUCACAGCCCUAGCACCCAGCACAAUGAAGAUUAAGAUCAUUGCUCCCCCUGAGCGCAAGUACUCAGUCUGGAUCGGUGGCUCCAUUCUGGCCUCACUGUCCACCUUCCAGCAGAUGUGGAUCAGCAAGCAGGAGUAUGAUGAGUCGGGCCCCUCCAUCGUCCACCACAAAUGCUUCUAGAUGGACUGAGCA